rnacentral:rRNA from 1 species
GAGUUUGAUCGUGGCUCAGAUUGAACGCUGGCGGCAUGCUUUACACAUGCAAGUCGAGCGGCAGCGCGGGGGCAACCCUGGCGGCGAGCGGCGAACGGGUGAGUAAUGCAUCGGAACGUGUCCGGGAGUGGGGGAUAACGCCGCGAAAGCGGCGCUAAUACCGCAUAUUCUCUGAGGAGGAAAGCGGGGGACUCGCAAGGGCCUCGCGCUCGCGGAGCGGCCGAUGUCCGAUUAGCUGGUUGGUGAGGUAACGGCUCACCAAGGCGACGAUCGGUAGCUGGUCUGAGAGGAUGAUCAGCCACACUGGGACUGAGACACGGCCCAGACUCCUACGGGAGGCAGCAGUGGGGAAUUUUGGACAAUGGGGGCGAACCCUGAUCCAGCCAUGCCGCGUGC